CAGAACUUAAGAUGAAGAAGAAUACUGCUAGAUUCUUUUUUUAUUUAUCGUGAUAUGUUCCUGUAUGAAUAUCAACUCAUCAUAGAUACCAGGAUAAGAAGUUAAUAUUCCACAUUUGUUCCAGACGCGCGCUUCGUCUACAUAAGACUCAUCAGUGACGCUUGAAUGAAAAUGAUACGACCAAAUGAAGUACGAAGUUGGAGAACAUUAAGAACUAACAAAUAUCGAAGGGUUUCACAAAUCAUAUAUAGGAAUAAGCAGACAUAAUCAAUCUUUCGUAACAAAUGUUCAAAAUCCAAAGAACAACAUGAUACUUUUUCAUUAGUUUAAUAUUUGGAUGUAAACAAAAC
rnacentral:lncRNA from 1 species